ACGUUCCAUGCUUUUAAGGAUCAUUUCUUAAGCAUGUGUCGCAACAGUAUCUGAUUCUAUUGAGCAGAUCAACAACAUCACGAUGAUGUGAGAUUGUAUUGAGUCCUGAGCGUGAAACAAGUUUUUCUUUAUCAUUCGUUCCUCGCUUUUAACAAAUGUGAGAAAAAUCCAGUGAGGAUCAUUCUUGAGAGAUUUAAUAACUUCUUAAAGAGUGACUCAAUACUUUCUGAGU
rnacentral:snoRNA from 1 species